rnacentral:lncRNA from 1 species
CGAGCUUGCACAGGGCGAGGCGGGGGCAGGACCUGGGACCCAGCCACCCCGGAGGAAACCGGAGAGGAAACCAGCUUGGUCUUGCUCUCUGCCUCGUCCCAAUCCCCGGCUCUUACCAAAUGCAGGCACAAUGACCAGGACAGUACCGAGCUUUACAGCCAUAUUGAACUCACCAUCAACUCAGCACAUUCAACUCAAUCAGUCAAAAUCGUCUUUUCCUGCUGGUAAAUAACACUGAAAUUGUGGGAAGAUGGGAUGGUAAGAACAAAGUCUGUCUCUGGAAGCACGGGCGCUGUCUCUGAAGACAAAUUGAUCGUAACACAAGCAGACCCGGUGGAACGACCUCCAUGCUGAACCCUCAGCUCCCCCUGCAUUUGGACCAUGGCCUGAUGGAAGAUAAAGAGACUGAUCUCAGAGUGGUACAGAUCUACAACCACGUGAAGAAUUGGAUUUAUAUUCAUCUGACUCCAGAAAGUUCCUGAGAUUCCUCUGCUUCAUCAUCUUUCCCAUGCCCUUUAAAA